rnacentral:ncRNA from 1 species
ACAAAUGCAAUGAUGAGGAGGAGUACAUACUCACUGAGUUCCAGAGAAAAGAUGGUUGGUGCGAAUCUUUAACAAGGAAGUAUGGAAGUAGCCUUUGAGCAGUGAACUGAACAGGAUUACCUAAGUAGGCUUCAACGGAAUUUUCCUCCGUUACAGGGAAAGCAGUAUCGAUUUUUCCGUACUGAAAUGAGAAGUUAUCAUGUCAGAUGGAGGAUUAUCCGUACUGGCAGAGUGCAAAGAUUAUUCUUUGAAUUUAGGUGGUAACACGGAUCACAGCGUAUUCGCCCUAAGC